rnacentral:ncRNA from 1 species
CCACGUCCCGACGCACAUCCCCCCCGGCGCCGGGACCUUCCGAGCCGGACUUCGGCGCCCAUCCCCCCCCCGGGCGCCGGAGUCCGGCUGCUGC